rnacentral:rRNA from 1 species
GAGUUUGAUCCUGGCUCAGAACGAACGCUGGCGGCGUGCUUAACACAUGCAAGUCGAACGUGAUCCGGAGCUUGCUCCGGUGAAAGUGGCGCACGGGUGAGUAACGCGUGGAUAAUCUGCCCUGGUAUCUGGGAUAACAUCUCGAAAGGGGUGCUAAUACCGGAUAAGCCUACGGUCUCUUCGGAGUCUGCAGGAAAAGGUGGCCUCUAUUUAUAAGCUACCGUAUCAGGAUGAGUCCGCGUACCAUUAGCUAGUUGGUGGGGUAAUGGCCCACCAAGGCUACGAUGGUUAGCUGGUCUGAGAGGAUGAUCAGCCACACUGGAACUGAGACACGGUCCAGACUCCUACGGGAGGCAGCAGUGGGGAAUUUUGCGCAAUGGGGGAAACCCUGACGCAGCAACGCCGCGUGAGUGAUGAAGGCUUUCGGGUCGUAAAGCUCUGUCAGAGGGGAAGAAAUGAGACUGGCUAAUAUCCAGUUUCCUUGACGGUACCCUCAAAGGAAGCACCGGCUAACUCCGUGCCAGCAGCCGCGGUAAUAC